GCCCUGAUAGUAUAAACAUU
rnacentral:tRNA from 1 species